GCCAUGCAUGCCUCAGAAUCACUGCACUUGCAGGAAUCUGCGCAUGGCUCAUUACAUCAGACGUAAUCUGCCGCAAAUAUGUUGCGGUUUUCCGCGGAAUUGGAUACCUUGGCGAAACGCCAAGCUAAUACAUGAAUCGAAGGGGUCUCUUCCGUUUCGUCGCUCAUCUUUCGGGGUGAGCGACUGUGAAGGAUCCAGCGAAUGAAUGACAUUAGGACCAAUGCCACGCUCAGUGGCAGCAACACCAAGAAGUGUUGAAUCAAUUCAUUCUGCGAAAGCUGUCUUCUGACAGCGUCUUUUGACGAACAACUGCCCUAUCAGCCAGUGAUGGCCGUGUAGUGGACUGCCAUGGCUUUGACGGGAGCGGGGGAUUAGGGUUCGAUUCCGGAGAGGGAGCCUGAGAAAUGGCUACCACUUCUACGGAGGGCAGCAGGCGCGCAAAUUGCCCAAUGCCAAAAAACAUGAUGAGGCAGCAAAAAGAAAUAGGCCUCCCAAAUCCCCUCAUGGGUGUUUGGGAGUUACAAUGGGGGAUAUUUAAACCCACCCAAAAUCGAGGAACAAUUGGAGGACAAGUCUGGUGCCAGCACCCGCGGUAAUUCCAGCUCCAAGAGCAUAUAUUAACGCUGUUGCUGUUAAAGGGUUCGUAGUUGAAUUGUGGGUUGUCAAGGAAACGACACCGUCCUCGCGACGAACGUCGCUCUUGCAGCCCGUGAACAUCAGAAACAGAAUCCACGAGAUCGGUUCCCGGCAAACCACGCGUGCAAUGUACGCUUGCCGGGCGUCCGUGAUACUUACUGUGACAAAAGAAGCGCGACCAAGGCAGUCAAACGACAUGAAUUAGAAAGCAUGGGAUAACAAAGGAGCAACCUACGGGCUACCGUUUCGGCUUUUGUUGGUUUUAAAGGUCUGUGGGAGACUAUGGACUUCCGUGAAAAGCGUUCUGGGUUCGCCCAAGCGCCUUCUGUCUCCGCCUACGGGCUGGAGCGCAGACACGGCUGUCCAGGAAUGAAGGAGGGUCGUUCGGGGGAGAACGUACUUGAACGUGAGAGGUGAAAUUCUUAGACCGUUCAAAGACGAACUACAGCGAAGGCAUUCUCCAAGGAUACCUUCCUCAAUCAAGAACCGGAGUGUGGAGAUCGAAGAUGAUUAGAGACCAUUGUAGUCCACACCACAAACGGUGACCCCCAUGAAUUGGGGAGUAUUUGGCUGGCGGUGGCUGGGCUUGUCCCAGUUCCCACCCCACCAAAAAAGUAUUUACGUGCACAUUCCCAACUCUGGCCACCUCACGGUGGUCAACUAUCGCGAAUAUCCUCAGCGCGUUCUCUGACUGUUUCACGCGAAAGCUUGAGGUUACAGUCUCAGGGGGGAGUACGCUCGCAAGAGUGAAACUUAAAGAAAUUGACGGAAUGGCACCACAAGGCGUGGAGCGUGCGGUUUAAUUUGACCCAACACGGGGAACUCUACCAGAUCCGGAGAGGGUGAGGAUUGACAGAUUGAGUGUUCUUUCUCGAUCCCC
rnacentral:rRNA from 1 species